GGGGCUGUAGCUCAGUGGCAGAGCAUCUGCUUUGCAUGCAGGAGGUGCCACAUCCAAGCCCCAACAUCUCCA